rnacentral:rRNA from 1 species
GACGAACGCUGGCGGCGUGCUUAACACAUGCAAGUGGAGCGACGAACCAGGCUUCGGCCUGGGGCAGAGCCGCGAACGGGUGAGUAACACGUGGGUAACGUGCCCCGAUGACUGGGACAACCCGGGGAAACCCGGGCUAAUACCGGAUAUGCCCCCUCACGCGAGUGAGGUGUGUAAAGGAAGCUUCGGCCUCCGCAUCGGGAUCGGCCCGCGGCCCAUUAGCUUGUUGGUGAGGUAACGGCNCACCAAGGCUUCGAUGGGUAGCUGGUCUGAGAGGACGAUCAGCCACACUGGGACUGAGACACGGCCCAGACUCCUACGGGAGGCAGCAGUGGGGAAUCUUGCGCAAUGCGCGAAAGCCUGACGCAGCGACGCCGCGUGAGGGACGAA